rnacentral:rRNA from 1 species
GACGAACGCUGGCGGCGUGCCUAAUACAUGCAAGUCGAGCGCAGGAAACUGACGGAACUCUUCGGAGGGAAGGCAGUGGAAUGAGCGGCGGACGGGUGAGUAACACGUAAGGAACCUGCCUCAAGGAUUGGGAUAACUCCGAGAAAUCGGAGCUAAUACCGGAUAGUUCAACGGACCGCAUGGUCCGCUGAUGAAAGGCGCUCCGGCGUCACCUUGAGAUGGCCUUGCGGUGCAUUAGCUAGUUGGUGGGGUAACGGCCAACCAAGGCGACGAUGCAUAGCCGACCUGAGAGGGUGAUCGGACACACUGGGACUGAGACACGGCCCAGACUCCUACGGGAGGCAGCAGUAGGGAAUCUUCCACAAUGGACGAAAGUCUGAUGGAGCAACGCCGCGUGAGUGAUGAAGGUUUUCGGAUCGUAAAACUCUGUUGUAAGGGAAGAACACGUACGAGAGGAAAUGCUCGUACCUUGACGGUACCUUACGAGAAAGCCACGGCUAACUACGUGCCAGCCGCCGCCGUAACAC